CUUCAGGAGUGAACCAGAUGAGCUAGGUCUCAACCCCAAACGCUGUUACUAUACCGGCGUUUAGAUCUACAUCCGCUCUCUACCCGUGUUCCUCAGGUCAAUUAGUUAUUCUCCAUCUUGACAAGGGAGGCAAAAUGGGUCUGGAUUAAACAGGGAAGAGCAGUAUAAAUCAGUGGCUCCCAAAAGCCGCUACCUAGUGUAAAAUGUUACUGGGUGCUGACGUUGACUGCUCAUCAAUUUUAGAGAUGUUUUACGAGAUAUGUUCCGGAUCCUGAUGAGUGAUGAUUGAAAUUGGAGAGGUGGAAAGAGUCUUGAUUUCAUAGCCUGAGAUACACCGCCUUCCAAAUAAAGAAAACAUUAUGGUGGUCGCAAUUGUUCAAGCUAUUUUAAUGAAUCAAAAUAAUUCCUAUAAAAAGAUUAUGCCUGUGAAGCUGAUUCCACGAGUUGAUAUGUAACUUUACAAAUAAAAAAAUUUGUGGUGAUCGCAAUUGUAUAAUUAUUUAAUGAAUCAAAGUAAUUCCUACGAGAAGA